CAUUGCAAUGAGUGGCGAACGGGUGAGUAACACGUGGGAAACCUACCUCUUAGCAGGGGAUAACAUUUGGAAACAAAUGCUAAUACCGUAUAAUAAUUAAAACCGCAUGGUUUUAGUUUAAAAGAUGGUCUUGCUAUCACUAAGAGAUGGUCCCGCGGUGUAUUAGUUAGUUGGUGAGGUAAUGGCUCACCAAGACAAUGAUACAUAGCCGAGUUGAGAGACUGACCGGCCACAAUGGGACUGAGACACGGCCCAUACUCCUACGGGAGGCAGCAGUAGGGAAUCUUCCACAAUGGACGAAAGUCUGAUGGAGCAACGCCGCGUGUGUGAUGAAGGGUUUCGGCUCGUAAAACACUGUUGUAAGAGAAGAAUGACAUUGAGAGUAACUGUUCAAUGUGUGACGGUAUCUUACCAGAAAGGAACGGCUAAAUACGUGCCAGCAGCCGCGGUAAUACGUAUGUUCCAAGCGUUAUCCGGAUUUAUUGGGCGUAAAGCGAGCGCAGACGGUUAUUUAAGUCUGAAGUGAAAGCCCUCGGCUCAACCGAGGAAUUGCUUUGGAAACUGGAUAACUUGAGUGCAGUAGAGGAAAGUGGAACUCCAUGUGUAGCGGUGAAAUGCGUAGAUAUAUGGAAGAACACCAGUGGCGAAGGCGGCUUUCUGGACUGUAACUGACGUUGAGGCUCGAAAGUGUGGGUAGCAAACAGGAUUAGAUACCCUGGUAGUCCACACUGUAAACGAUGAGUGCUAGUUGUUCGAGGGUUUCCGCCCUUGAGUGACGAAGCUAACGCAUUAAGCACUCCGCCUGGGGAGUACGACCGCAAGGUUGAAACUCAAAGGAAUUGACGGGGACCCGCACAAGCGGUGGAGCAUGUGGUUUAAUUCGAAGCAACGCGAAGAACCUUACCAGGUCUUGACAUCCUUUGACCACUCCAGAGAUGGAGCUUUCCCUUCGGGGACAAAGUGACAGGUGGUGCAUGGUUGUCGUCAGCUCGUGUCGUGAGAUGUUGGGUUAAGUCCCGCAACGAGCGCAACCCUUAUUGUUAGUUGCCAGCAUUUAGUUGGGCACUCUAGCAAGACUGCCCGGUGACAAACCGGAGGAAGGCGGGGAUGACGUCAAAUCAUCAUGCCCCUUAUGACCUGGGCUACACACGUGCUACAAUGGCAAGUACAACGAGUCGCCAACCCGCGAGGGUGCGCAAAUCUCUUAAAGCUUGUCUCAGUUCGGACUGUAGGCUGCAACUCGCCUACACGAAGUCGGAAUCGCUAGUAAUCGCGGAUCAGCACGCCGCGGUGAAUACGUUCCCGGGUCUUGUACACACCGCCCGUCACACCAUGAGAGUUUGUAACACCCAAAGUCGGUGAGGUAACCUU
rnacentral:rRNA from 1 species